rnacentral:rRNA from 1 species
UUAAGCGACUAAGCGUACACGGUGGAUGCCCUGGCAGUCAGAGGCGAUGAAGGACGUGCUAAUCUGCGAAAAGCGCCGGCGAGGUGAUAUGAACCUUUGACCCGGCGAUGUCCGAAUGGGGAAACCCAGUGCAAUCCGUUGCACUAUCGUUAACUGAAUACAUAGGUUAACGAGGCGAACCGGGGGAACUGAAACAUCUAAGUACCCCGAGGAAAAGAAAUCAACCGAGAUUCCCCCAGUAGCGGCGAGCGAACGGGGAGCAGCCCGGAGUCUGAAUCAGCUUGUGUGUUAGUGGAACGGUCUGGAAAGUCCGACGGUACAGGGUGAUAGUCCCGUACACGAAAGCACACUUGCUGUGAACUCGAAGAGUAGGGCGGGACACGUGGUAUCCUGUCUGAAUAUGGGGGGACCAUCCUCCAAGGCUAAAUACUCCUGACUGACCGAUAGUGAACCAGUACCGUGAGGGAAAGGCGAAAAGAACCCCGGCGAGGGGAGUGAAAAAGAACCUGAAACCGUGUACGUACAAGCAGUGGGAGCCUCUUUAUGGGGUGACUGCGUACCUUUUGUAUAAUGGGUCAGCGACUUAUAUUCUGUAGCAAGGUUAACCGUAUAGGGGAGCCGAAGGGAAACCGAGUCUUAACUGGGCGUUAAGUUGCAGGGUAUAGACCCGAAACCCGGUGAUCUAGCCAUGGGCAGGUUGAAGGUUGGGUAACACUAACUGGAGGACCGAACCGACUAAUGUUGAAAAAUUAGCGGAUGACCUGUGGCUGGGGGUGAAAGGCCAAUCAAACCGGGAGAUAGCUGGUUCUCCCCGAAAGCUAUUUAGGUAGCGCCUCGUGAACUCAUCUUCGGGGGUAGAGCACUGUUUCGGCUAGGGGGCCAUCCCGGCUUACCAACCCGAUGCAAACUACGAAUACCGAAGAAUGUUAUCACGGGAGACACACGGCGGGUGCUAACGUCCGUCGUGAAGAGGGAAACAACCCAGACCGCCAGCUAAGGUCCCAAAGUCAUGGUUAAGUGGGAAACGAUGUGGGAAGGCACAGACAGCCAGGAUGUUGGCUUAGAAGCAGCCAUCAUUUAAAGAAAGCGUAAUAGCUCACUGGUCGAGUCGGCCUGCGCGGAAGAUGUAACGGGGCUAAACCAUGCACCGAAGCUGCGGCAGCGACACUAUGUGUUGUUGGGUAGGGGAGCGUUCUGUAAGCCGUUGAAGGUGUGCUGUGAGGCAUGCUGGAGGUAUCAGAAGUGCGAAUGCUGACAUAAGUAACGAUAAAGCGGGUGAAAAGCCCGCUCGCCGGAAGACCAAGGGUUCCUGUCCAACGUUAAUCGGGGCAGGGUGAGUCGACCCCUAAGGCGAGGCCGAAAGGCGUAGUCGAUGGGAAACAGGUUAAUAUUCCUGUACUUGGUGUUACUGCGAAGGGGGGACGGAGAAGGCUAUGUCAGCCGGGCGACGGUUGUCCCGGUUUAAGCAUGUAGGCGGAGGUUCCAGGUAAAUCCGGUACCUUGUUAACGCUGAGGUGUGAUGACGAGGCACUACGGUGCUGAAGUGAUAAAUGCCCUGCUUCCAGGAAAAGCCUCUAAGCAUCAGGUAACACGAAAUCGUACCCCAAACCGACACAGGUGGUCAGGUAGAGAAUACCAAGGCGCUUGAGAGAACUCGGGUGAAGGAACUAGGCAAAAUGGUGCCGUAACUUCGGGAGAAGGCACGCUGAUAGGUAGGUGAAGCCCCUGCGGGCGGAGCUGAAAUCAGUCGAAGAUACCAGCUGGCUGCAACUGUUUAUUAAAAACACAGCACUGUGCAAACACGAAAGUGGACGUAUACGGUGUGACGCCUGCCCGGUGCCGGAAGGUUAAUUGAUGGGGUUAGCGGCAACGCGAAGCUCUUGAUCGAAGCCCCGGUAAACGGCGGCCGUAACUAUAACGGUCCUAAGGUAGCGAAAUUCCUUGUCGGGUAAGUUCCGACCUGCACGAAUGGCGUAAUGAUGGCCAGGCUGUCUCCACCCGAGACUCAGUGAAAUUGAACUCGCUGUGAAGAUGCAGUGUACCCGCGGCAAGACGGAAAGACCCCGUGAACCUUUACUAUAGCUUGACACUGAACACUGGUCCUUGAUGUGUAGGAUAGGUGGGAGGCUUUGAAGCGUGGACGCCAGUCUGCGUGGAGCCAACCUUGAAAUACCACCCUUUAAUGGCUGGUGUUCUAACGUAGACCCGUAAUCCGGGUUGCGGACAGUGUCUGGUGGGUAGUUUGACUGGGGCGGUCUCCUCCCAAAGAGUAACGGAGGAGCACGAAGGUUGGCUAAUCCUGGUCGGACAUCAGGAGGUUAGUGCAAUGGCAUAAGCCAGCUUGACUGCGAGCGUGACGGCGCGAGCAGGUGCGAAAGCAGGUCAUAGUGAUCCGGUGGUUCUGAAUGGAAGGGCCAUCGCUCAACGGAUAAAAGGUACUCCGGGGAUAACAGGCUGAUACCGCCCAAGAGUUCAUAUCGACGGCGGUGUUUGGCACCUCGAUGUCGGCUCAUCACAUCCUGGGGCUGAAGUAGGUCCCAAGGGUAUGGCUGUUCGCCAUUUAAAGUGGUACGCGAGCUGGGUUUAGAACGUCGUGAGACAGUUCGGUCCCUAUCUGCCGUGGGCGCUGGAGAAUUGAGGGGGGCUGCUCCUAGUACGAGAGGACCGGAGUGGACGCAUCACUGGUGUUCGGGUUGUCAUGCCAAUGGCACUGCCCGGUAGCUAAAUGCGGAA